UGAUUGCCUAAAUUCAACACACCUGGUCUUCCUGCAGCACUCCAGGGCUGCCUGGCCUAUCACCUGUCAGACAGUGCAGCUCUUUAAAAAUCUGGAGUGAAGCAUGUGCUUUUAUAAGCCCAGUCAUUGCACAACAAAUAACAAUUCUAAAUGCAAUUGCAUGUUAACUGUUUAUGGCCACGAUUAAGAGCUACUAUUUUAAAUUCUCAAACUCAACUCGUAAUUAAAGAGUCCCUCCCAUUCGCCAUUCGAGUGCAUAGGCUAGUCAACAAUAGGCAGGCUAUCAUCAUGUCACCCACCACUUUUCAAUGUGAGCUUGAGGCAGUAUAAUUGUUUGAAAUCUGAAAGUUUUACUUUGAUUAAAAUAAUGAGGCAUGUCUUACCUUGCUUCAAAACUUGGGAGGUAAUUAUUUAAUACAGACUUAAUGUCAUUACCACCAUUCUCCUGUUCUAUUGGGUUUCAUAUCAACUUUCCUUCGUCGUCCAGAAGCCAAAGGCACAAUCCUAGUCAUAUUAGCAACCCAUCCUAGUUGUUGCCAUUAGAUUACCCUCUUUCUAUCUUUGAGAUUCACCUGUCACAUAUGGAACCACUCGCAUUUGGUGCACUGUUUAGAACAGUGUUUUCACGUUAAUUGCAUUUUGGAAAAUGUUUGAAAAUUGGGGUUUAUUAACUGUUUCAUUACAGAAGUUGCAUGUUCAAUAAUAGGCUUUAGUCUUUUAACUAAGACAAUAGGAAGGCUUGCUAUUGUUGCAUGUUUGCAUUAAGCUCUUAAAAUGUAAUGUGCAUGCAUUAUAUUUGGUUGGUCAGUCAUUUGACUGUUUGGAGAGAGAAAAUCUAUUUGUUGAUCGGUUAAUGAGGUUAAUGAGGGUCGAUCAGGCGGCAGCAAAAUUGACCCGAAAUGUGCGUACCUACGAACAAAAAGACGCUUAUGACACCAAGACAUUUACAGCUAUCUAAGUAUGAGAAAUUCAAACCCUUCUCACCGAUUUAAUGGCUUGAGGAAUUCGCUUCCACAAGUACCUUGCGUUAUUCCUGUAAAAAGAGAAAAAGUCAUCUGACAAUUAAUUCCAAUCAUGUCUCAGUGGGCAGAAAAUCUUAACUUUAGAAGGGCUUUUGGAAAGGCAUAGCCUGACUUGCAUGUCAUUGUGCAGUAGAUAGAGCACCAACAGCUGGGCAUACACUUGAGGGGUAGCAAUGCCACCUGGAGCCUGGCAAUAAAAAGAGCAUGAAUUAGUUAAUGCCUAUGGUCAGACCAUUCAAGCCAAUUACUCAUGAAGUUCCAAAUUUGGUAGCACCCUCAUGACUUGGGAUAGCCCAAUAAUGGAGUAAAGGAGCCUACGUUACUCCUUACAGUCCAAGGACCUUACGUGUUCUGUUUAAAGGCGAAUUGGCUCGAAGUCAAAACAGCUAAAUACUCCAUCUAAUCCUGAAUCGAUUCUCAAUUGCGGUACAGUUCUAGAAUCAAAUCCCUCAACUUUUCAUAUCAAAUCAAAUGUCACAAAUGCAAAAUACACACUUACUGUACAUUGGUAAAACAGUUGCAGCCGACAAUAUAUUUCAGUGAGAACAUGUUUGGGGCAUCAGUCUUCCAUUUACACACAGGUGUUAGGAGACGCAGAUAGCUAAUUAGCACAAGUAGUCAACUGUCUUCAGUCUGUUUUCAGUAAACACGCACUGUAACAUGGAGAUAUGGCCAAGUUGGAAACAUGGAGAAACGGCAUUACCAUGCAGUGGUAAAAGAAAUCAUAAAAGUUCACAUGGGAGGAACCAUACGGAGGCCAAAUGAUCACUAUUGUGUAGUUAGAGACGAGAAGACUCCCGCUGAACGACUGGAAAUGUGUCUCAGGUAGCCUCUUAGGAUCCCUUGACCUACUCACAGGGAGCCUCUUUGGAUCCUCGCCCUGCAUAUGACACCUUCUGUACUACUCUGAUCCUGGCAACCUCAACCUGCCUUUCUCUCACUUCUUAUCUCCGGCACCAUGGGUCUGCAUCUCCCCAAAUGGGGGGCAUCACAGACACCGGGAAUCUUCCAUUUCAAUUGAUCUUCCUCAACAUAACGCCACCCCAGUUAUCACUCCUUUCACUGGCACCCUGCUGCAGAGAGAGCAGUCACAGUUAUUUCCCUAGGUGGGUGGUGCGGAGUGCCCACUCCCUCUGGAUGGAAAAAAUGCAAAAGAUCAUCACAAGUCUACUUCAACAGUCGCCAACCUCAUCUCCACCCAAUCCGAUACCCACAUAUAGAUCAGCCAGAAUGUAAGGAUUCAUUCUCUACAAAAACCUCACUCCCACUGGGCCAGAAUCAUAUUUGUCAUCAUCGGGAUGAGGCUCUAACUCGGCUGUCUUCACCGCAUAUGCCGCCAGAGGUAAUUAACCCUCUCUUGUCAGGUUCAAUUUUUUUUUUUUUGUACUUGAUGCCAAUCUUCCUCACCACAUGCUUCCCUUAAUACCCAGCUCCUUUCCUUAUUCUUCUCUGUCCAUUUCUACAUCUCCACGCUCCUUCAUCCGCUGUAGUAGAAAACUGUUAAAAUGGUUCUUGUAUCUUGAAUUUGGCGCAAUGUCACAUUGACUAAAAAAGCUCUACCAGCCACUGUUGCUCCUGUGCUACUACCGAACUGGGUCAUGUCUAGGUGGGAUCCAGCUUUUGUCAAAUUGACAGUGCCUUCAGAAAUUCUUCACACCCCUGGACUUUUCCCACGUUUUGUUGUGUUACAGCCUGAAUUUCAAAUGGUUUAAAUUGAGAUUUUUGGUCACUGGCCCACACGCACCCAUAAUGUCAAAGUGAAAUGAUGUUUUUAGAAAUGUUUACAAAUAAAUGAAAAGCUGAAGUCCAUAAGUAUUUCAUCUUUUAAGUUCAGGAGUAAAA